CACCAUUUUCUGUUACUAUAAUAGAAUACUCACAUUUGGGUAAUUUAGAAAUAAAAAAGAUUUAUUUUAGCAUACGGUCUGGAGGGCCACGAGCACGACAGUGGCAUUUACUUGCUUGGCUUCUGGUGAGAGUCUCAUGCAGAAAACAGGAAGGCAGAUGGGCACAUGUGGACAGGAGGAGAGGGACAGAGGAACCAACCUUCUGACAAUAACAUAAUACACUCACACGAGAACUGAUCCAGCCCCAUUAGAAAGGUGUUAAUCCCUCUUCAAGGACCUGCCUCCCAACACCGCUAUAUCAGCAACCAAACUGCAACAUGAGUUUUGGCAGGGAAGAAACUUAUCCACACCAUGGCAGAGGCCAAUCUAUAAUGCAGUUUAAUUUCUUUUUGAGCAGGGUGUAAAGUGUAUUCAUGUUUUAAAACCAAAAAUAGGGGGGGAGAUCUCAUUCCACCAUUCCUAGGCUCUCUUAAUUGGCUACUAGUCAAGAAAAACCCAAUAAGUUAGUUUGUUGAACCUAAAGAUAUUAGGAUCCAAAAUAUCUAUAACUAUAAUAGCCUUAGUAAUAUUCCAGUACAUUAAUUACCUGUGAAUGCUGACUUAGUAUCCAUAGUAAUUGUAAAAAGUUCCUAUUUUAUGCUUACCACUAUUCUAACCUAUUUUAUAUAUUAUAUAUUUUUCAUUUGCCUUUACUUGGUCUAUCAUAAAUUGCAGAUGCAAAUAAUAUGCACACACACACACAUUUGCCCCUCCUAUUCAUAUUUAUUUGAAAGUAUUGGCCAUAGUAGGUUCAAUAAUUUCUAAGUCCUCAAUUUUAUUCUCUGCUUUCAAAGACUGCACAAAAAUUUGUGAUGGCCAAGAUGAUAUUCUGCUCUAUUAUAGGUGUUGAAGAGGUGAUGUUAGACUGUUCCCACAGAGUUUAUACACUAAGGAAGCAGACAUGGCUACCCAAGCCACUUUGUACAGGUGCAGUGACUGCAUCAAGGAAAGGAGCACACCCAUCAUUUCAAACUUCAUCUGGUCACCCACCUGCCAUCCUGCACAGCCCUGUGACAUGCAACAGCUCAGGUCAGGCAUCCUGAGGGCCUCUGUGGCCACUCCCCUCCUGCCCCAGAUAGAGAGGGAAGACCUAGCCUGGCUCUGUCUCUCUUGCUGAGGUCCUGAGCAGCUGGUGAGUGUAGAGCUUGGCUUGGUGGAGGGGUGAGGCUGCUGCAGUAGGCUCCCCCCACCCCCC
rnacentral:lncRNA from 1 species